GGAAAAUGUCAUGGUGAAGCCAAGGACAUGACAUGAGAUUUGGUAGUGAUCAUUGGUAUAAUGAUAUCACAUGUUUAGUCAUCACAAACUUUUUCAAUAACGGUAUAAAUACGAAAAUUGCUCAGAACAUAACCACAUUUGGAAUUUCAUACUUAGAAUUAUCUAGUCGUCAUGGAGUUGAAAGUGAUUUGAUCAAAUAACCAAUGACAUCUCUUAAUGGAUACAAACACACCCAUAUAUGUAGCUAAAUAUAUGAUUAGGUUAACCAACUUAUAUAAGAAAUUAAUAUUAGUUAGCAAAAAAAACUUAUAUAAGAAUAUAUAAGUUUAUCUAAAAUAUUCAACACGGUUGGAUCGGCUAGGUUGACAUGCUCUUUGCGUCGGUAGUUACUUGACUGUGUUUUACCGUACCGUAACUAACUGUACCAUCGGCGAUAACAUUUACAUAUAAACAAACUAGUUUUAUUUAUAACAGGCUAAACCAAAAUAAUUAACCUGGUCUAAAAUAAAAUUCCAAAACAGACAAAAUAAAACCGAAAAGUAUUUUAAUUGAAAUAUAAUUCGUUUAUUUACUUUUGCAGAUGAAUUUUGGUAAAUUGGUCAUUUCCAAAGAAAACGAAACCAAAAAGAAUUCUUAAGUUUAUCAAGAUUUAUUAAUCUGAAUAAAGCUAAUGAAAAGAUAGAACUAAAACAGAAGCAAACUUCAAUCCAAAGUUACCACUUCGAUAUGUUUGUAUCUUUAUUCCAAAAAUAUAAACAAAAUGGAAGCAAACCUAAAUCCAAAAGCUGUCAUAUUUUCUUUGCAGGUUUCACCAAAAAAGAAGUAUCAGAAAAUUGGACAACAUGACCAACUAACUAUGUGUCUAUAUAUAGAAUUGGUAUAUUUUCUUGUUUAUAAGCAAAAGAGACACAUGCUUAACUAUAUGGACGUGUGGUGUCUAUGACACGAGGUCUAGAGUUACAUUUUUGUGUCUUAUUGUGCAUCGAACUUAUACGAAAAAAUAAACUAAAUUUUAAUAUUUCACCGUUCUAAUCAACGAAAUUAAAAUUUAAAAUUCUCAACUAACCUAUUAAAAAUGCGCAUUGGUGACACAAAUUUUCAAAUUAAUUAACCUUAAAAAAAUUCACCGUACUUAAUUCAAAACUAGUUGUUACAAAUGCCAUCAAAAUUAAUAUUGAUAAUACUUAAUAAACACAUAUGUUAAAUAUAUUUGAACAUGAAAUGAGAAUGUAUAUUUUAUCUGAAUCAACCAACUCUGUAGACCUAAUAGCAUCAAACCCAAGAAGAAUCGGUCUAUCAUUCUCCCUAAUGAUUUGGACUGAUCCGGCCCGUUUAAAUACGAUAAUGUUUGAUAUUGUAUAGUAGUAACAAUCUUGGGCUUCGUGUUGUUCGUUUUAAACUUUUUCGAGUAACCCAAUAGUUGCGUAUGUGAACCGAAGAUAAUUUAUGCUCAACUAUCAUGAUCGACUAUGAAAUUUUAAAUUCAUAAAAAAAAUAUUUCGAAAUUAAAAAAAAAAAUCAUCAUAUCCCACGAUCUCAUUAGUUUAUUUUGUUUUUGAUACCAUCAAGAACAUUAAUCUUUUAAAGAAAUUACUCUAGAUAAAGUUAAAUCUUCUUCAUUACCAUGUACCAAAUAUAUUAAAAAGCUAAAAAUCUCUAACCGAAUCUUCCAAAUUUCAUCAUAUAUUCAUAUCCCACGAUCUCAUUAGUUUAUUUUGUUUUUCAUACCAUCAAGAACAUUAAUCUUUAUAGAAAUUACUCUAUAUAAAGUUAAAUCUUCUUCAUUACCAUGUACCAAAUAUAUUAAAAAGGCUAAAAUCUCCAACCAACCAUUUUCCACAACUUCCACAAAUGAAAAAUAUGAAAAACUUUGAUUAACUAAAAUUUAAAGAGCGUCAAAAAUCUCCAACUGUCAACCACGUGAGGUGCACAUGCGUUGACGACCGUGAGUAGAAGACUCUCUUCGUCAAGCGGACAAGCACUUACAGCACAUGCACACACACAAGCCUCCUUUCUAAUUUGGUCCCCUUUCACUAAUUUAAUUCAUUUCAACUUUACAAUCCCUAACUACAUUUAGUAACUCUCUUACAUUAUUUUAUCAACCAAUGAACUAGUCAUAACCUCUCUUUCUCUUUCUUUCUUAAAGACUCUCCUCAAGAUUUUCCCCUAACUAUCAUAUUAACUUUUAUAGGGUUUAUCUUUUCAGGCAAAAACAAAUUAUGUACCGUCGUUCCUCCUCCAAGUCAACCGCUCCAGACGGCGGCGACGCCGAAAACAAUCCAUAUGAUGAAACUUCAGGUGGUUUCUCCUCCCUCGGUUCUCAAACUCACCAUAAUCUUCCACCUCCGCCGCGCCAGCAGCACAAUCCCAACGUCGUUGGGUUCGGUCAUCACUUGUCAGGCGAACCAUCUACCAUCGGACAUUCCGGCGCUUCUUCCUCUUCCUCUUCUUUGUUCCGACACAGAAGCUCUCCGGCUGGAUUCUAUGACCAACUUCUUCCCACUGAACCCAACGGUUUUUCCCUAGGGCAGCCAAACGGAGGAUACGGCGGAGGAAGAGGAGAAGAGCGAGGGCUAUCUAGGUUGAAGUCGGAGCAGAGAUUCUCAGGCGGGAGUAGUAGUAAUUAUCAAGAACAUAACUCUCUACCUAGAAUCUCGGAGGUACACGCGGCUGCGGCGGCUAUAAACAGUGCCACGUCGACGAGUAUGAGUUUUGGAAAUGAUAGUAACAUUUGGGACAGGUCGUCUUCUCAAAUCAGUUUCACCAUUGAUGAACCUGGAAAACGGUCCAAGACCACCGACUUUUUCACCUUAGAAACUCAGUUUAGCAUGCCACAAACGUCUCUGGAAAUGGCAAGAAUGGAGAGUCUGAUGAACAUCCCAGAGGGUUCGGUGCCCUGUAGGGUUAGGGCCAAGCGUGGAUGUGCGACUCACCCGCGUAGUAUAGCUGAAAGGAAGAACGAGAAUAAGCGGGAAGCUGAAGAAGCUACAAGAACUGGUGCCUAAUAUAGACAAUCAAACGAGCUAUGCAGAAAUGUUGGAUUUGGCUGCUGAGCAUAUCAAAGGUCUUCAACACCAAGUAGAGUCACUAGAAAAGGGGAUGGAGGGAUGCACUUGUGGGGCGUGCAAGAAGCGAUGAUGAAAGAAUGAUAUGUUUCUAAAGAUGAUCGAAGAAAGUAUAGAA